CCGCCGCACCAUAAGCCGCCAUAUCCAAAUAAUCUGCUGCUCGUUGAAAUAAAAUAUUUACUUCCACAAACUUAGCUCAGAAAUUUUCCUCCAAAACUGUGUGGUAGAAAUCGCCUAAGAAAGAAGCGGAGAAGAAGAAGAAGAAGAAUUAUACUAAUAAGCAGAUGGAGAUGAAACAAAUUAAUGAUACAUCUUUAGCUCUCUGCUGCUAUACCUGAUCUCGUGGUGGAGUUGGCGCAAGUCAACGGAGGCGGCAGCUGGUUUUGAUACAAUUUCAGAAACAUUCAAGAAUUUUAGUAAAUGAUUU
rnacentral:lncRNA from 1 species